GUAGUCCACGCCGUAAACGAUGGAUGUUAGCCGUUGGCAUUUGCCAGUGGCACAGUUAACACGUUAAACAUCCCGCCUGGGGAGUACGGUCGCAAGAUUAAAACUCAAAGGAAUUGACGGGGACCCGCACAAGCGGUGGAGUAUGUGGUUUAAUUCGAUGCUACGCGAAAAACCUUACCACCAUUUGACAUGUCUAUAGAGACUUACAGAAAUGUUUGUCGCACUUCGGGUGGAUAGAACACAGGUGUUGCAUGGCUGUCGUCAGCUCGUGUCGUGAGAUGUUGGGUUAAGUCCCGCAACGAGCGCAACCCUCAUCCUUAGUUGCCAGCGAGUAAUGUCGGGAACUCUAAGGAAACUGCUCGUGUCAAACGAGA
rnacentral:rRNA from 1 species